rnacentral:rRNA from 1 species
CCUACGGGAGGCAGCAGUGAGGAAUAUUGGUCAAUGGGCGGAAGCCUGAACCAGCCAAGUAGCGUGCAGGAUGACGGCCCUACGGGUUGUAAACUGCUUUUAUACGGGAAUAACGCGCCUUACGUGUAGGGCUUUGCAUGUACCGUAUGACUAAGAACCGGCUAAUUCCGUGCCAGCAGCCGCGGUAAUACGGUGGGUCCGGGCGUUAUCCGGAUUUAUUGGGUUUAAAGGGAGCGUAGGCCGCAUGUCAAGCGUGCUGUGAAAUGUCGGGGCUCAACCCGUGCCUUGCAGCGCGAACUGGCGGGCUUGAGUCCGCGUAAGGCAGGCGGAAUUCGUCGUGUAGCGGUGAAAUGCUUAGAUAUGACGAAGAACCCCGAUUGCGAAGGCAGCUUGCUGCAGCGUAACUGACGCUGAUGCUCGAAAGCGCGGGUAUCGAACAGGAUUAGAUACCCGAGUAGUC